rnacentral:rRNA from 1 species
UACGUAGGGGGCUAGCGUUGUCCGGAAUCAUUGGGCGUAAAGAGCGCGCAGGCGGUCGAUCAAGUCGCGUGUGAAAGCCCCCGGCUCAACUGGGGAGGGUCACGCGAUACUGAUCGACUCGAAGGCAGGAGAGGGUAGUGGAAUUCCCGGUGUAGUGGUGAAAUGCGUAGAUAUCGGGAGGAACACCAGUGGCGAAGGCGACUACCUGGCCUGUUCUUGACGCUGAGGCGCGAAAGCUAGGGGAGCAAACGGG